rnacentral:rRNA from 1 species
CGGCGAGCGGCGGACGGGUGAGUAACGCGUGGGAAUCUACCCAUUUGUGGGGGAUAACUUGGGGAAACUCAAGCUAAUACCGCAUAAUCCCUACGGGGGAAAGCAGGGGAUCUUCGGACCUUGCGCAGACGGAUGAGCCCGCGUCGGAUUAGCUAGUUGGUGGGGUAAAGGCCUACCAAGGCGACGAUCCGUAGCUGGUCUGAGAGGAUGGCCAGCCACAUCGGGACUGAGACACGGCCCGAACUCCUACGGGAGGCAGCAGUGGGGAAUCUUGGACAAUGGGGGAAACCCUGAUCCAGCCAUGCCGCGUGUGUGAAGAAGGCCCUAGGGUUGUAAAGCACUUUCAGUAGGGAGGAAGGCUCUGGGUUAAUACCCUGGAGUACUUGACGUUACCUACAGAAGAAGCACCGGCUAAUUUCGUGCCAGCAGCCGCGGUAAUACGAAAGGUGCGAGCGUUAAUCGGAAUUACUGGGCGUAAAGCGCGCGUAGGUGGUUUGGUAAGUUGGGAGUGAAAGCCCCGGGCUCAACCUGGGAAUUGCUUUCAAAACUGCCAGGCUAGAGUGCGGUAGAGGGAGGUGGAAUUUCCGGUGUAGCGGUGAAAUGCGUAGAGAUCGGAAGGAACACCAGUGGCGAAGGCGGCCUCCUGGACUGACACUGACACUGAGGUGCGAAAGCGUGNGGAGCAAACAGGAUUAGAUACCCUGGUAGUCCACGCCGUAAACGAUGUCUACUAGCCGUCGGCGAUCUUGUAUUGUUGGUGGCGCAGCUAACGCGAUAAGUAGACCGCCUGGNGAGUANNNCCGCAAGGUUAAAACUCAAAUGAAUUGA